CUGGAGCUCCCUGCAUACCUGAGGCUUUCCAAAGCUCUCCUUUCCAUUUGGCUCCAAAGCAAAUGUGCGUGCACAGAAAGAAUCUUAUUCCUUUACAAUUUGCCUCUUCUGGGGAGUUCAGAAAUGUUAGAAUCCACUCAUGUUCCAAACAUCCCCGUUUCUCCUGAAGAAGCUGUGCAGCCUCCUGGACACUAUUCCAAAGAUGCACUAACAGGGCAGGCUGUGAAUAAAGGAACAGGCAAGCUUGGAGAGCCAUUUCUUUGCUAUAUUUGGAAAUAUAGAGAGACUUUAACAUUUGUGAUGAUGAAAGCAAGCAUUUGCAAGGGGUUCCUUUGCUUGCGUAGGAGCAACUUGUACCACCACACUUCGUUUUGAAAAUGAUCUUUUGAGAAACAGCUUGGGUUGUCCUGGAGAGGAUCUGAUGUUCUUUUGGCCUGCAGCAGGAGAUCACCUGAUAAUGAGGUGCCCAGCAGUGGGUGAACUUUCCCAGCAGCCCUGUGCGCUCCCCCUCAUCUUUUGGGUGCGAAUCCCCGUGUACUUUGGCAUCUGAAUCCACCUGAUGUCUUCUCUAGGUGGGAAGCUUUGUGAUAGCCAUCUUUUAAACCCAAAGCUGAAGCACUGGUGUGGUGACUCAUUCAUACAUCUUUGGAUCAAGCACAAAGGAGAUGACAAGCCUUGGGUGCCUACAGACUGAUGCUUGCAGGUACCUUAUUUCAAGUACCACAUUCCAGAGCUCACUCCCACAUCUUGCCUCGAAGGUACAUAUAUUUUUUCAAGUACCUGGAGCCUGCUGUUAGUGCGUGGCCAGAGGCAUCUCAGCCCUGCUGACCCAUCUGAGCUUCAUUCUACCUCUAUGGGGGCUUGAUGAGGCUUGCAGCCCACUCCUACCCAGCAAGGAUCAUCUCCUAGGCAAGGAGGCAUGGGAUCUGUUUACAGCAUGCACAUCUGAUUGUUACAGGUAAAGGAUGCUGGCAGCCCUGACCUGUGCUGAACAUGGGCAGGAAGCCCUCACCUUUUGCCCCAUUCACCUGUCCAUAGCCACCACUCAAAACCUCGUGGCCAUUCAGUAUCCUGGAGGAGUUCCCUCAGUUCCCACUGGAAAACCUGGACAAAGCCUUUCCCGAUGCCAGCCCUCAACCAAGCCCCCAUGACCCUGCAUGGGGAAGACUGGGGCCAUCUGAAGGGGGGCAUGGGGGCAUCUCACCCCCUGCUCAGGCAUGCAGACAGCCAGGGAAGCUCCCUCCGUCCUCACCAUGUAAACAUCUGCUGGAGGAAGACUUUUCUCCUAAUAACACAUCAUUAAACAUUGAUUUAAAGACAAUCGUCUUCCCUCUCUUUAA